UCCUGCCUGAACUGAUGUGCUUAUCUCAAAGAUUAAGCCAUGCAUGUCUAAGUAUAAACGAUUUAAUCGUGAAACCGCGAAUGGCUCAUUAUAACAGCUAUAAUUUACUUGAUCUUGACACAAUCCUACUUGGAUAACUGUGGUAAUUCUAGAGCUAAUACAUGCAUUAAAGCUCUGACCUCACGGGAAGAGUGCAUUUAUUAGAACAAAACCAAGCGGCUUCGGCUGUUUCUGGUUGACUCAUAGUAACUGAGCUGAUCGCAUGGUCUUGCACCGGCGACGUGUCUUUCAAGUAUCUGCCGUAUCAACUUUCGAUGGUAGUGUAUCUGACUACCAUGGUGAUCACGCGUAACGGAGAAUAAGGGUUCGGCUCCGGAGAGUUCGCCUGAGAAAUCGCGAACACAUCUAAGGAAGGCAGCAGGCGCGAAAAUUACCCACUCUCAGCACGAGGAGGUAGUGACGAAAAAUAACGAGACCGUUCUCUUAUGAGGCCGGUCAUCGGAAUGGGUACAAUUUAAACCCUUUAACGAGUAUCUAUGAGAGGGCAAGUCUGGUGCCAGCAGCCGCGGUAAUUCCAGCUCUCAAAGUGCAUAGAAUUAUUGCUGCGGUUAAAAAGCUCGUAGUUGGAUCUGUGCCAUAGGACGUGGUCCACCUUCGGGUGCGUACUACGCUCCUAGGCUUUUUGCUGGUUUUCCCGUCGUAGCCUUCACUGGUUGCGGCGGGUGGCUGGCGAGUUUACUUUGAGAAAAUCAGAGUGCUCAAUACAGGCGUAUCGCUUGAAUGAUUGUGCAUGGAAUAAUAGAAAAGGAUUUCGGUCCUCUUUUAUUGGUUUUGUGGACUGAGAUAAUGGUUAACAGGGACAAACGGGGGCAUUCGUAUCUCUGCGUGAGAGGUGAAAUUCUUGGACCGUAGAGAGACGCCCUACUGCGAAAGCAUUUGCCAAGAAUGUCUUCAUUAAUCAAGAACGAAAGUCAGAGGUUCGAAGGCGAUCAGAUACCGCCCUAGUUCUGACCGUAAACGAUG
rnacentral:rRNA from 1 species